UCGGGAAUUUUGGGCAAUGGGCGAAAGCCUGACCCAGCAACGCCGCGUGAAGGAUGAAGUAUUUCGGUAUGUAAACUUCGUAAGAAUAGGAAGAAUAAAUGACGGUACUAUUUAUAAGGUCCGGCUAACUACGUGCCAGCAGCCGCGGUAAUACGUAGGGACCAAGCGUUGUUCGGAUUUACUGGGCGUAAAGGGCGCGUAGGCGGCAAUUCAAGUCAUCUGUGAAAUCUCCGGGCUUAACUCGGAACGGUCAGAUGAUACUGCUUUGCUAGAGUGCAGAAGGGGCAAUCGGAAUUCUUGGUGUAGCGGUGAAAUGCGUAGAUAUCAAGAGGAACACCUGAGGUGAAGACGGGUUGCUGGGCUGACACUGACGCUGAGGCGCGAAAGCCAGGGGAGCAAACGGGAUUAGAUACCCUAGUAGUCCCUGAGCGGGCUGGCAAGGCGCAU
rnacentral:rRNA from 1 species